rnacentral:rRNA from 1 species
GCAGUCUGCAACUCGAGUGCAUGAAGCUGGAAUCGCUAGUAAUCGCGGAUCAGAAUGCCGCGGUGAAUACGUUCCCGGGUCUUGUACACACCGCCCGUCACACCAUGGGAGUCGGGAAUGCCCGAAGCCGGUGGCCCAAUCUUUAAAGAAGGGAGCCGUCGAAGGCAGGCCGGAUGACUGGGGUGAAGUCGUAACAAGGUAAC